rnacentral:rRNA from 1 species
UAAGCCCCGAGCGUUGUUCGGUAUCAUUGGGCGUAAAGGGCGCGUAGGCGGCCGCUCAAGCCCGGAGUGAAAGGCGGGGGCCCAACCCCCCGGACUGCUCCGGGAACUGGGCGGCUGGAGUCGCCGAGGGGGAGCCGGAAUUCCUGGUGUAGGGGUGAAAUCUGUAGAUAUCAGGAAGAACACCGAUGGCGAAGGCAGGCUUCCAGCGGACGACUGACGCUGAGGCGCGAAGGCGCGGGGAGCGAA